rnacentral:rRNA from 1 species
UACGUAGGGGGCAAGCGUUGUCCGGAAUUAUUGGGCGUAAAGAGCGUGUAGGCGGCCCGGUUAGUCCGCUGUGAAAGUCCAGGGCUCAACCCUGGAAUGCCGGUGGAUACUGUCGGGCUAGAGUCCGGAAGGGCGAGUGGAAUUCCUGGUGUAGCGGUGAAAUGCGCAGAUAUCAGGAGGAACACCAGUGGCGAAGGCAGGCUCG